AUCUUAUGUGGAGUUCUCUAUCUACCUAAGGACUUUAAGGCCUUCUGAAGUUUUGCAUUCACAUAUAGAAUUUGCUAGCCACCUGUGUUGUUGCAAAAAGAGAGUCAAUACUUGUUUUACGUUACGAGACAACCUGGGCAAGUCUGUUUAAAAACUGCAAACAUAGUGGUGCUAUGAAGCUCUUUGAAGAUGUGAGCGUCCUUGAGCCAAAUGUUUAAACUGCCCAAAGCAUCAGACAUGCUUAUAUAAGCUCCUUUCUAUUUCACUGAAACCCUGAGGUCCUGUUGCAGGAUGGUGCUGAGAGAAGGGGUUCUGACAUUGUUUCGUGCCUGAGGAAUUUCUACGUUGCUGCUGCCAAAGUCAAUGAUGUGAAAGCUGCUGCCUUUAGCUAGAACAAGAGUGAAUGUGACAUUUGUCAAAGAAUAACUUAAGUUGAACAUAAGAACAUUUUGUGACACGCUUCCCCUGAGAAACACUUCCUCUCAAGAAGAAGGAUAAAGACCAGAAAAAAUCAGCACAAAUAUCAGUGAAUGACAAGUGCAAUCCUGACUGCUUCUUACCAAAUAGCAAGCAAGCGAAAGUUUGCUCAUCUUUCCUAUGUGGUAAUUCACUUGCAUUUCCCAGGCAUUUGGGAUUAUUUUUUUUCCCAAAUAAACACAAAGCAGAAAAUCACCUACGUGAAGUAGUUUAAAGAAGAAUGGUUAUUGACCUGAAAGGGAGGAAAACAAGAAUGCGUGUUUCCAGUAUGAUUCAUGUUAACUGAGGAUAAUGUGACAACUGAAGUCCAUUGCUUUGCACUGUAUUGUAAGAGAAAUUAUUUUAUCAUAGAAAUGUAGCCUUUAAGAUGACGAAUGUCUUCUUGUGCGUGACCUUCUUCCACAUCCUUUUCUUCAAAGUGUAAAUGCCAAGAAGGUUCUAGGAAAGGUAGUAAUUAUGAUUUUUGAAGGCUGUCUUUUGUGCUUGAAUUUAAUAAAUUGUUGUA